CCGCUGCCGGCGCGGCGGGCGGUGGCAGCCGCGAGCGCUGCCAGGCCGUGUAAGGAUGGGUACUGGAAUAACGACUAAAAUGGUUUCUGAAUCUAGAACAACUGAAAGAAAACAGAGAGUAAGAUGGGUAGACAAUGUGGAAGAAGAUACAAAACCUCUUAGAGUCUAAGUGAAGCGGAAAAUCGGUUCGCAGAGGCCAGAAUGGAGGAAAAUUGUUGAACAGGCUAAGAUACACGCUGGGCUGUAAUGCAACGAGAAGAAGACCUUUCUCCGCUGCUGUCUGUUAUCAUGAGGUGGAGGAAUAUUUGGCAUGACAGAUACUACGAUGUUAUUCAGUGUUCUAUAUUCACAAAAUUUCACUUUCAGCAAAAACUGUUCCGAUCCUGAUGCGAGUGCAGUGGGAUGUAUAUGUACACAUGUAAUCUGUUGUUGUUGCGAAUCAUUAACUGAAAAUUUACAUGAUUUAACACACUGGAAGUAACAUAUGCAGAAAACUGAUAUCAGUUUGCAGAGUAUGUAAUAUGCAGAUUUUUGAAGUGCACUUCCUGCAGUGUUGCCUGUGAUGUAGUCUGAUGUUCUGGUAUGUGAUGUGCUGAAUGACACCAAUGCGAAGAGAUCCAGUGAUGAGGAGAGAAAACUAUUUUCAUAGAAGGCUUUUUAAGAUGUAUUUUGAUUGUGUGCGGAAAGAGUCCAUUUGCAAUAUGAUAUUUUUAAUAAUUUUCAGUGAGGUAUGGAUUACACAUGGUAAUUUUCUCAAUCUACAUAGCGAAAUUACUGACACUUUCAUGAUGUGGAUGCAUGUUUCACAUAUGGAAAUCCAGUCUUUGUAUCUUCAUGAGGAGAGUAUGUUUUGGGGAUUGGUAGAGAAUCUGUUUGCUAUUAAUUCAGACAAACAGUAGAAAUGUUAAUUUCAUCACUUUUCCUAUCACUGAUUCGUUAUUUGUACUGAUUUUGUUUUGUUUGACUUUCUGAUGUUAUGAA
rnacentral:lncRNA from 1 species